AUUGAACGCUGGCGGCAUGCCUUACACAUGCAAGUCGAACGAUGAAGCUGGAGCUUGCUCCGGCGGAUUAGUGGCGAACGGGUGAGUAACACGUGAGCAAUCUGCCCUUCACUCUGGGAUAACUGCGGGAAACUGUAGCUAAUACCGGAUACGAAGCCUUGGGGCGUCCCAGGGCUUGGAAAGAAUUUCGGUGAAGGAUGAGCUCGCGGCCUAUCAGCUAGUUGGUGAGGUAAUGGCUCACCAAGGCGACGACGGGUAGCCGGCCUGAGAGGGUGACCGGCCACACGGGGACUGAGACACGGCGCAGACUCCUACGGGAGGCAGCAGUGGGGAAUAUUGCACAAUGGGCGAAAGCCUGAUGCAGCAGCGCCGCGUGAGGGAUGAAGGCCUUCGGGUUGUAAACCUCUUUUAGUAGGGAAGAAGCGCAAGUGACGGUACCUACAGAAAAAGCACCGGCUAACUACGUGCCAGCAGCCGCCGUAAUAC
rnacentral:rRNA from 1 species